UACGUAGGGGGCAAGCGUUGUCCGGAAUUAUUGGGCGUAAAGAGCGCGUAGGCGGUCCGAUAAGUCGGCUGUGAAAGUCAGGGGGCUCAACCCUUGAAAGCCGGUGGAUACUGCAGGGCUAGAGUCCGGAAGAGGCGAGUGGAAUUCCUGGUGUAGCGGUGGAAUGCGCAGAUAUCAGGAGGAACACCAAUAGCGAAGGCAGCUCGCUGGGACGGUACUGACGCUAAGGCGCGAAAGCGUGGGGAGCGAACAGG
rnacentral:rRNA from 1 species